GAGUCGGGCUCGCUCCGUGGAGAGCAAGGGCACUUGCGAAGAGGCGGCGGGGAGAAGAGGUAGAAGAGUCGGGAUCCGGGGUUGAGACGCAGGGUAGGCCGAGAGGCCAGCGGGCAGAAGAGGUAUAAGAGUCGGGGUCGGGCUGAAGGGGUGGACGCGGCGGAGGGGGUAAUAGCGUCCACCUAGCAACUCCCUCGAACAUGAUCUCAGUUUACAGUUUAUCUCUGGGGUUCAUGUAUGGUUAUUCGCACUCGCGCGCCAGCCUAACGCGGCACGUUUACUCGAUACUGCACGGCGAAGAGCCCCGCGUUCUCCGGUGCGCCGGCCCCUUCCGCGGCGUGCCGCCCCCCGUUCUGCUGCCGUUACGGUCGAAGCACGCUUGAACGGAGUUGCCGUGGUUGCCGAACCGUCCACAACCCGACGACAGCUACGGCAUGCGCGAGCGCCUCCCACCUACCGACUCGGACCGCGACGAGCGGCGGCACCGGCGGUGGACGACCAUGUGCCCGGAGGAGGAGCCCGCAACGUACCGGCGACUGGUCCGUUAGGCCUGCAUGGGCCUGUAGCCGCUCGCGCGGAAGCCGGCGGCCCCUGCGGACCAGCACAGGCGGAAGUACAUGCGGCUCGAGAUGGAGCAGCGGUAGCCGAAGGAGUAGGAGCUGCCGCUGUUGGAGCUGUUCGAAAAGGGGCCGCGGUCGCAAGUGGACCCCGGGCACAGCGAACGCCCCUUCGUCGACAAGCAGCACGACCACCGCGAGUACCAGCGCGGGUGCUGCACCGACGCGUCAGACCCGCACGAGCGGAUGCAGAGGCGACGUCCGCACAAGCGCAGCCAGCGGUAGCAGGAGUCGCACGAGACCCGGCGCCGGCAGCUGCCGCAGCCCAAGAGGCCCGCUCCGUGAUGGUGCGGUAACGCCGAGUGGCCGGAGGGGUGGCGAGAGCCGGAGAUGUGGAAGACGAUGACGUGGGUGCGCCACAAGGGCUGCGACAUGUGUAGGUACUUCGUUUUUAGAGUCAAGGGUUUCUACGAUCGCUAUACGAAGCACGACACGUGCGAGUUGAUGCCGAGUUACCGGCACGACCCUAUGGAGUACAUGCCGCUGCCGCACGUCAGGGUCCACUGCGAGUUGGAUGGCCGCCGCUCCGAGUCGAGGUUCUAGCGGUAUAUGUGCUGCCACCAGUACGGAAAGAGCUUCAUACGUGACCACCAGUGCGGCUAGCGCCACCGGUAGCUCCUCUCCAAAGCACCGCACCAUCCGCUCCCUCGGCGCCGGAGGCACCGCCACUCCUGCGACGACCACGACUCGUGCCACCAGCAGCGCUAGCGCGACGGGAAGAAGCCCAUGGAGUACCGCGACCACCCAAGGGACGAGUCGCACACGCGCACGUACGACGACGGCACGGAGACGAUACAGUCCUAGAAGCCUCGAUGUAGAGAGUGCCGAAACCUCUGCCGCAGCUAGCAGCCUUAUGACCACAACCCGAACGACCACCGAUAUUGUCCCUGCAUGAGAAGAGAACACGUUUAAUAGGUACUCAACGUUCACCCUCACAUUUUACAGAUUAAGAAAAGAAAUCGAAUAGAAAAUCUACUUGACCAAUUUACUAUACGUUAAAUUAUGAUCAUAGUCGCUCCGGAGGUAUACGAGACGUAGCACAAAGAACAAAGUCGUCGGCUUACGUAAAGCGUUUUUUCCUUUAGUAUUCUUCUUUACUUAAUCACCGUUACCAUGAUGGGAGUUUUCUUCUUUCUUUUACAUUGCUUUAAUAAUACACCUGCUGAAGCAGACCUGCUCGACACUUGCUACCUCCUAGCUUACCACUAUCAGUCGAAAGGGAGAUACGUACCUACCGGACUGCACAACAUAGUACGUGUUUAGCAGGUCUAAGAUAGCACACACAUCGUCG
rnacentral:rRNA from 1 species